rnacentral:rRNA from 1 species
AGAGUUUGAUCCUGGCUCAGGAUGAACGCUAGCUACAGGCUUAACACAUGCAAGUCGAGGGGCAGCAUGACGAUAGCUUGCUAUUGUUGAUGGCGACCGGCGCACGGGUGAGUAACGCGUAUCCAACCUGCCCUUGUCCAUCGGAUAACCCGUCGAAAGGCGGCCUAACACGAUAUGCAGUUCUCAGCAGGCAUCUAACGAGAACGAAAUGUGAAGGAGAAGGAUGGGGAUGCGUCUGAUUAGCUUGUUGGCGGGGUAACGGCCCACCAAGGCGACGAUCAGUAGGGGUUCUGAGAGGAAGGUCCCCCACAUUGGAACUGAGACACGGUCCAAACUCCUACGGGAGGCAGCAGUGAGGAAUAUUGGUCAAUGGGCGAGAGCCUGAACCAGCCAAGUAGCGUGCAGGAUGACGGCCCUAUGGGUUGUAAACUGCUUUUAUGCAGGGAUAAAGUGAGCCACGUGUGGCUUAUUGCAGGUACCGCAUGAAUAAGGACCGGCUAAUUCCGUGCCAGCAGCCGCGGUAAUACGGAAGGUCCGGGCGUUAUCCGGAUUUAUUGGGUUUAAAGGGAGCGUAGGCCGGAGAUUAAGCGUGUUGUGAAAUGUAGAUGCUCAACAUCUGCACUGCAGCGCGAACUGGUUUCCUUGAGUACGCACAAAGUGGGCGGAAUUCGUGGUGUAGCGGUGAAAUGCUUAGAUAUCACGAAGAACUCCGAUUGCGAAGGCAGCUCACUGGAGCGCAACUGACGCUGAAGCUCGAAAGUGCGGGUAUCGAACAGGAUUAGAUACCCUGGUAGUCCGCACGGUAAACGAUGGAUGCCCGCUGUUGGUCUGAAUAGGUCAGCGGCCAAGCGG